AUAAGGGUAUAUCGUGGUCAUAAAUUAAAGUGCAGUUUUUUCCCUCAAAUUCAAUAACUUUAAGUUUAGAAAUUUUUUGUUGGAAAUGGAAACAAGAAGGCCAGAUAUACCCAUAAGCGAUGUGCAACAUAUACUAACUGAAAUAUGUCACUGGAAAAUUCACAAGAUCGAUCGUUUGGACUCUUUCGAAGACAGAAACUUUAUGGUGAAGUACGAGAACGCAGAGGCGUUACAAUCAAAGGAAGAAUUGAAAGCGAUGGUGAAAAUCGUUCAUUCGAAGAACUUCUGCCAACAAAAAGUGAAAGCGGAGAGAAGGGUUAUGGAUCAUCUGAAAAACGAGGGAUUCAUCUGUACCUCUUGUUUGUCAUUUCCUGACGGAAAAUGGCAUUACCAUACAGAUGAUGGUAAACAUGUUUUCCGACUGUUCUCAUUUAUUCCUGGGGUAACUCUGAAGAGCUGUCUACACCUAAUUGACAGUAAAAGUAUGCUAUUGGAUUUGGGCAGCUUUGUUGGUAAACUUCACAGGUCUCUACAGGUAUAUAGCUCAGUAAAACUAAUAGUCGUGACAUUACCCACAACUUGAUACUUACGUAAAUUCAAUCUCUCACCAGAGGGCGCGUUUCGCAAGCUUCACUGACAUAAAGCGUAAUUAUACGCCCUCUUGUGAGAGAUUGAUGUUAAUUAUUUUAAAAGACGUAUUUAUGGCCAUGACAUUUUCUCUCAUUAUUUCAAUGAAAUAAUUAUUUGAGUCGUUUGCUUUAUAUACAAUCAUGUACAUGUACCACUAUAAGUUAUGUUCUUACGUCUAAAAAUCAUUCAUUGCUAAUUAUUGUAUCUAAUAAAAAAUUCUAUGGUAUUAAAAUAUUAGUCAAAAUUUUGAUUUGAAUUUUUAAAAAUUGAUUGAUCGAUUUUUAAGUUACAUCGAGAUAACGGGGUAAUUUUUGACAUUCGUAAAUAUGCGUUUACUUUAUGAUUUUUGUUUCCUGCAAGAUUUAAUUAAAAACUGGGUUUUUUCUUCAUUGAAUUCGAAGAAGGUUAAAGAGUCAAUAGUCGUGGAGGAUAGGCCAACAGAUCCCUGGAUUCUGAAGAACUCCUCCAUUUUACGCAAUUUGCUUAAAGAAAUCCAGGGCACAUCAGAAGAAAAAGAGCGUUUGAUAUUAAAUACCCUUGAAAACUUCGACCAUGAUGUUAUGACGUCAUUUGAUGAUCUGCCAAAAGGUAUGUUGUAUGGUAGGUAAAAGCGUAAACUUUUAAGAUAUACAUGUAUGUUUGGAAUUGUUGGACAAUAGACAUGAAAAAAAAGAUUGCUUGAUUUAAGUUUUACUAUUCCAGGUGUAACUCACAACGACAUUCAUGAUCUUAACAUUAUUGUGAAUUACCAUGAUGGAAAGUUACAAUCAUUAGAAUGCAACACGGAAGAAAAUGGCGUGAAAGCAAAAUUCGGACUCAUCGAUUUCAACGAUGUAGCCGUUUCACCAUAUUUGUUUGAGGUUGCCAUGGUGAUAAGAGAUUUAAUGGUAGAUAUCGAGGAUGUCCCACAUCUGGAAAUCGGGGCUUAUUUUCUGACCAGAUAUACAGAGGUAUCCCCAAUUUCUGCAAAGGAAUUGCAGUUAUUGCCGUAUUGUAAUCAGACUGGUCUUUGCCAGUACAUAGUGGUUGGAGAGAGUGAAUUUCAAAAACAACCGGACAAUGAGUACACUCGACUAGGAGCUGAUAAUGCCUGGACUGUGCUUCAAAAGCUUCAACAUAUCACCAAUUCCGAUAUAUCGAAAACCUGGGAAAGAAUCAUGAACUCCUGAUCUGUAUCUACCUGAAAUAUGCAUAAUUAUGAUAUUAGUUAUUCAAAUAUAGGAUUUACAUAUGUGAAAUUAUAUAUGGUGGUUGGAUUUUAGACACACUCUAUUAGCAUUUUGCUAUAUAGGGAAGAUAUUCUUUUUAAAAUUCAGAGAGAGAGAGAAAGAUGAUGCUAUUAAACUGUUCUUUUGAAAUUAUUUGCGUGUUUUUUCUUAAUCAUGCCAUAUCAUUAAUAUAAUAAAAUUAAGAACCGUGCCAAUUUAUAUCAUAUGCCGGAUAACACAAAAUAAUUUUUUUAUGUAGCAAACAACCAUUAAAAUAAGAAAUACGAUUAGAGAUUG
rnacentral:misc_RNA from 1 species